GAUGAACGCUGGCGGCGUGCCUAAUACAUGCAAGUCGAGCGAACAGACGAGGAGCUUGCUCCUUUGACGUUAGCGGCGGACGGGUGAGUAACACGUGGAUAACCUACUUAUAUUUCUGGGAUAACUUCGGGAAACCGGAGCUAAUACCGGAUAAUAUAUUGAACCGCAUGGUUCAAUAGUGAAAGACGGCUUUGCUGUAUCUUAUAGAUGGAUCCGCGCUGCAUUAGCUAGUUGGUAAGGUAACAGCUUACCAAGGCAACGAUGCGUAGCCGACCUGAGAGGGUGAUCGGCCACACUGGAACUGAGACACGGUCCAGACUCCUACGGGAGGCAGCAGUAGGGAAUCUUCCGCAAUGGGCGAAAGCCUGACGGAGCCACGCCGCGUGAGUGAUGAAGGUCUUCGGAUCGUAAAACUCUGUUAUUAGGGAAGAACAAAUGUGUAAGUAACUAUGCACGUCUUGACGGUACCUAAUCAGAAAGCCACGGCUAACUACGUG
rnacentral:rRNA from 1 species